rnacentral:rRNA from 1 species
CAGCCGCCGCGGUAAUACGAAGGGGGCUAGCGUUGCUCGGAAUGACUGGGCGUAAAGGGCGCGUAGGCGGUUUUGACAGUCAGAUGUGAAAUUCCUGGGCUUAACCUGGGGGCUGCAUUUGAGACGUCAAGACUAGAGUGUGAGAGAGGGUUGUGGAAUUCCCAGUGUAGAGGUGAAAUUCGUAGAUAUUGGGAAGAACACCGGUGGCGAAGGCGGCAACCUGGCUCAUUACUGACGCUGAGGCGCGAAAGCGUGGGGAGCAAACAGGAUUAGAUACCCCCGUAGUCCCUGUCUCUUAUAA